GAGCUAUUGGCUUUGAAUUGUAUUGUGGAAAUGUAUUACCAACAGAGGUGCAGGUGCCAGCCUAUUGAAAUAAAGCGUCAAUGAGGGUGAGAAUCCUGUUUGUCAUGUGCAGCCCUUUGUGCACGGUGUAUAUUUGCUGAGUCACACUCCUUGGCAUUGGAAUGCAAAGUGGGUGGUAAGUUUCAUGUAAAGGUAAACAUGCAAUUGAGACUGAUAGCACACAAGUACCAUGAGGGAAAUAUGAAAAGGACUUUGAAAAGAGAAUUAAAUGAGUUUGUAUUUGCUGAACACAAAGUAAACAGACUUGAUUUGCUUGGUGGGAGUGUUGCACUUGCUUGACAAGAGCUUUGGGCUGUGGGUGUAAUGAUUCUUUCUUUGCAUGCCAGUUUCUAUUUGUACAUCUGAUUACCUUUGCACAUGAAUGAUAAGUCUCCUGUGGGGGGUGGAUUGCAUGUGCAUGUAAUGAUUUGUGUUUUGAUAAAUGUGUCUGGUGUAUGUGUGUGUUCCUGUGCUUGGGGAUGCUUCCUUCCUUGGACUUACAAGCCCUGACACACACAUGCUGGCAAAAUGCUUCUGCUUGACCCGUCUUGAAACACGGACCAAGGAGUCUAACAGAUGUGCAAAGUUUGAAGGUGGUAUACCUUUGUGUGCAAUGAAAGUGUCAGCUGGGAUAUGUGCACCAGCACCCAAUUAAUUAGCGGACAGAGGUUUGAGUUGGAGCAUAUCUAUUAGGACCCGAAAGAUGGUGAACUAUGCCUGAACAGAAUGAAUUCAGAGGAAACUCUGAUGGAGGUUCGUAUCGAUACUGACGUGCAAAUCGUUCGUCAUAUUUGGGUAUAGGGGCGAAAGACUAAUCGAACCAUCUAGUAGCUGGUUCCCUCCGAAGUUUCCCUCAGGAUAGCUGGAGUUGCUCAGUUUUAUCAGGUAAAGCGAAUGAUUAGAGGAAUUGGGGACAGGUUUGUCUUUGACCUAUUCUCAAA
rnacentral:rRNA from 1 species